rnacentral:rRNA from 1 species
UGCUGGAGGUAUCAGAAGUGCGAAUGCUGACAUAAGUAACGAUAAAGCGGGUGAAAAGCCCGCUCGCCGGAAGACCAAGGGUUCCUGUCCAACGUUAAUCGGGGCAGGGUGAGUCGACCCCUAAGGCGAGGCCGAAAGGCGUAGUCGAUGGGAAACGGGUUAAUAUUCCCGUACUUGGUGUUACUGCGAAGGGGGGACGGAGAAGGCUAUGUUGGCCGGGCGACGGUUGUCCCGGUUUAAGCGUGUAGGUGUGUGUUCCAGGUAAAUCCGGUUCACUUUAACACUGAGGCGUGAUGACGAGGCACUACGGUGCUGAAGCAACAAAUGCCCUGCUUCCAGGAAAAGCCUCUAAGCAUCAGGUAACAUCAAAUCGUACCCCAAACCGACACAGGUGGUCAGGUAGAGAAUACCAAGGCGCUUGAGAGAACUCGGGUGAAGGAACUAGGCAAAAUGGUGCCGUAACUUCGGGAGAAGGCACGCUGACACGUAGGUGAAGUGAUUUACUCAUGGAGCUGAAGUCAGUCGAAGAUACCAGCUGGCUGCAACUGUUUAUUAAAAACACAGCACUGUGCAAACACGAAAGUGGACGUAUACGGUGUGACGCCUGCCCGGUGCCGGAAGGUUAAUUGAUGGGGUCAGCGCAAGCGAAGCUCCUGAUCGAAGCCCCGGUAAACGGCGGCCGUAACUAUAACGGUCCUAAGGUAGCGAAAUUCCUUGUCGGGUAAGUUCCGACCUGCACGAAUGGCGUAAUGAUGGCCAGGCUGUCUCCACCCGAGACUCAGUGAAAUUGAACUCGCUGUGAAGAUGCAGUGUACCCGCGGCAAGACGGAAAGACCCCGUGAACCUUUACUAUAGCUUGACACUGAACAUUGAGCCUUGAUGUGUAGGAUAGGUGGGAGGCUUUGAAGUGUGGACGCCAGUCUGCAUGGAGCCGACCUUGAAAUACCACCCUUUAAUGUUUGAUGUUCUAACGUGGACCCGUAAUCCGGGUUGCGGACAGUGUCUGGUGGGUAGUUUGACUGGGGCGGUCUCCUCCUAAAGAGUAACGGAGGAGCACGAAGGUUGGCUAAUCCUGGUCGGACAUCAGGAGGUUAGUGCAAUGGCAUAAGCCAGCUUGACUGCGAGCGUGACGGCGCGAGCAGGUGCGAAAGCAGGUCAUAGUGAUCCGGUGGUUCUGAAUGGAAGGGCCAUCGCUCAACGGAUAAAAGGUACUCCGGGGAUAACAGGCUGAUACCGCCCAAGAGUUCAUAUCGACGGCGGUGUUUGGCACCUCGAUGUCGGCUCAUCACAUCCUGGGGCUGAAGUAGGUCCCAAGGGUAUGGCUGUUCGCCAUUUAAAGUGGUACGCGAGCUGGGUUUAGAACGUCGUGAGACAGUUCGGUCCCUAUCUGCCGUGGGCGCUGGAGAACUGAGGGGGGCUGCUCCUAGUACGAGAGGACCGGAGUGGACGCAUCACUGGUGUUCGGGUUGUCAUGCCAAUGGCACUGCCCGGUAGCUAAAUGCGGAAGAGAUAAGUGCUGAAAGCAUCUAAGCACGAAACUUGCCCCGAGAUGAGUUCUCCCUGAGACUUAGAGUCUCCUGAAGGAACGUUGAAGACGACGACGUUGAUAGGCCGGGUGUGUAAGCGCAGCGAUGCGUUGAGCUAACCGGUACUAAUGAAC